UGUCUGGUUGAGCCAGGCAAGUCACCAGCCUCUUAGCACUGUGCACACUACCAGCAGAAAUUGUCCUUGCCAGCAACUCACUCUGACAGAGAGAAUCAUUACGAAUUUGGCCAGCUCCAUCAGGAAAGGCAUCAAACAGAUCUUGUCUGGAGUAAGAGCUAACAUCCCUGGGCUCCUCAACUAGAACAUACAGAACUUGCUUGUGCCUCCGUGUCUUUCCUGCUUUUGGAUUGCUGUCAGACUCACGAUGGUUAAGUCCUGAACUCCCUGAGGCAGUCCCUCCUCAGCAAAACUACAAUUGAUGUUGCUGCUGAAUAAGGACUUUGGGAUUGUGUCAUAGAAUAAACUCCAAACAGCCCUUCAGCUAUCUACUUGCUGCAAAGCAAUCGAAUAUACUCUGCUCAAAUGGAAGACAUAGAAAAAUCCCGAUGUCAGAAUGAAGACUACAG